CAGUCGCCGCGGUAAUACGUAGGUCCCGAGCGUUGUCCGGAUUUAUUGGGCGUAAAGCGAGCGCAGGCGGUUUGAUAAGUCUGAAGUUAAAGGCUGUGGCUCAACCAUAGUUCGCUUUGGAAACUGUCAAACUUGAGUGCAGAAGGGGAGAGUGGAAUUCCAUGUGUAGCGGUGAAAUGCGUAGAUAUAUGGAGGAACACCGGUGGCGAAAGCGGCUCUCUGGUCUGUAACUGACGCUGAGGCUCGAAAGCGUGGGGAGCGAACAGGAUUAGAGACCCGAGUAGUCCCUGUCUCUUAUACA
rnacentral:rRNA from 1 species